rnacentral:rRNA from 1 species
AUGCGUAAGGAAAACGAGCUCUACGAGAUAGUCAUGAGUGACACAUGGCAGGACAAAUUCAAAAGAGAAGUAUUAUUCUCGGGAGAACAACCACAGGGGAACAGUGCAACUCUCACUGGAUCAAACCUAAAGGAAAUUUUUGGGCCUGCAAACAAGAAAAAACGUAGAGGAAUGGAAAAGAAGAUAUUCAUGCCAUUUGAAAAGGAAGACCGAUACACACUAUUAGUGCUCGACAAAUAUAGAAGGAAGCUUCAAAUCAUUGAGCCUGAAGAAACCUCUCUCGAAGAAGUGAAGAGGCAAGAAUGGCUGAAAAAACAACGUGAUCUCCACGACCAUGAUGGCAAACUAAGUAAGCAAAUUGCUAACAUGGAAAUCAAUGAAGCCAGCAAAGAAAAGGAGCAUAACAAAUACCACAACCAUAAAGACAAACUGGUGCCCAGGUUCAAGGAAGUAUAUGAAAUAUUACUCAGUGAAAAAUUCGAAAAGGAAAAGACUAAAUGGGAAGUUCAGUUUUUAAAGAACGUUCCAAAGGUGAACAGAGGUGAACCCCGUUUGCUGUUCUAA